AGUCGCCUCAGCCGCGGUGUGAGGGAGCGGGAGUCUUCCUUAGCUUCUCCGCCAUGGGUGUCGCUUCGUAGCCGGGCUGCUCCGGGAAAGGCCUCGUACAGCACGCAUUCACCAGAAUCCUGUCAGCUUUCCUCUUCUCAUCCAGACGCCUGGCCAGGAUCCUCGAUAAGACCGUGACCCCCAACUUGGACACCCCAUAAGGUUCCCAGAUGAUGUGACAGCUACUGGUCUCCAGCCACACCUUGAGAACACUUGGCUUUGACUACCACUUCUUAAACUUAAAGGGUCUUCUCUGUCGCCCAGGCUGGAGUGCAGUGCUGCAGUCGUGGCUCACUGUAGCGUCAGUCUCCUGAGCUCAGGAAAACUAGACAAUCCACCAGCCCAGGAGGGGACAAGCAGGCUUAUUCCUCCUCCUCGUCAUCUCUGGCUCCAGCCCCACCCUGGCCCUUGCUGGCAUUCUUCCUCUUCACGUGGCUGGGGUUGGCCACCCCAAUAGGGAAGCAGAGGGAGAAGUCAAUGUGCUUCUGGGAAUCCAGGCGGACAGUGAAGAACAGGAUAUUUACCACCUGCUCACGGACACGGAUAUGACACUGUUGAAUCAGCACAUGAGCGUGGCGGAUGGACUUAGCCAAGCCAAGCUUGAAGACCUGGGUCUGUAG
rnacentral:lncRNA from 10 species